rnacentral:rRNA from 1 species
GACGAACGCUGGCGGCGUGCUUAACACAUGCAAGUCGAGCGGAAAGGCCCUUUCGGGGGUACUCGAGCGGCGAACGGGUGAGUAACACGUGAGUAAUCUGCCCUUGGCUUUGGGAUAACUACCGGAAACGGUGGCUAAUACCGGAUAUGACCAUGCUCGGCAUCGGGUGUGGUGGAAAGUUUUUUCGGCCAGGGAUGUGCUCGCGGCCUAUCAGCUUGUUGGUGGGGUAAUGGCCUACCAAGGCUUCGACGGGUAGCCGGCCUGAGAGGGUGACCGGCCACACUGGGACUGAGACACGGCCCAGACUCCUACGGGAGGCAGCAGUGGGGAAUAUUGGACAAUGGGCGGAAGCCUGAUCCAGCAACGCCGCGUGAGGGAUGACGGCCUGGUGUAACUCUUCUAGUACCGACGAAGCGCCGAUGAUGGUGGUGACGGUAGGUACGAGAAGAAGACACCGGCCAACUACGUGCCAGCAGCCGCGGUAA